AUUGAACGCUGGCGGCAUGCCUUACACAUGCAAGUCGAACGGCAGCACGGGUGCUUGCACCUGUUGGCGAGUGGCGAACGGGUGAGUAAUACAUCGGAACAUGUCCUGUAGUGGUGGAUAGCCCGGCGAAAGCCGGAUUAAUACCGCAUACGAUCUACGGAUGAAAGCGGGGGACCUUCGGGCCUCGCGCUAUAGGGUUGGCCGAUGGCUGAUUAGCUAGUUUGUGGGGUAAAGGCCUACCAAGGCGACGAUCAGUAGCUGGUCUGAGAGGACGACCAGCCACACUGGGACUGAGACACGGCCCAGACUCCUACGGGAGGCAGCAGUGGGGAAUUUUGGACAAUGGGCGAAAGCCUGAUCCAGCAAUGCCGCGUGUGUGAAGAAGGCCUUCGGGUUGUAAAGCACUUUUGUCCGGAAAGAAAUCCUUGGCCCUAAUACGGUCGGGGGAUGACGGUACCGGAAGAAUAAGCACCGGCUAACUGCGUG
rnacentral:rRNA from 1 species